rnacentral:rRNA from 1 species
GAUGAACGCUGGCGGUAUGCUUAGCACAUGCAAGUCGAACGGUCACUUCGGUGAUAGUGGCGGACGGGUGAGUAACGCGUGAGAAUCUGUCCUCAGGUCGGGGACAACAGUUAGAAAUGACUGCUAAUACCGGAUGUGCCUUUGGGUGAAAGAUUUAUUGCCUGAAAAAGAGCUCGCGUCAGAUUAGCUAGUAGGUGGUGUAAGAGACUACCUAGGCUCCGAUCUGUAGCUGGUCUGAGAGGACGAUCAGCCACACUGGAACUGAGACACGGUCCAGACUCCUACGGGAGGCAGCAGUGGGGAAUUUUCCGCAAUGGGCGAAAGACUGGCGGAGCAAUACCGCGUGAGGGACGAAGGCUUUUGGGUCGUAAACCUCUUUUCUAAAGGAAGAUGAUGACGGUACUUGAGGAAUAAGCAUCGGCUAACUCUGUG